AAUCAAACGCACAAACUGGAGGUCACUUGGCAUUUCGGCUUGCUGGCAACCGUCUUCCAUUUCGUGGUUUUCCAUCUCUCAGAGCUGAGUGGUGCUGGCCAGCAGCCGCCCCAGCAAGGAAGUGACACCGUGGAUUGGGUUACAAAGGCUCGUGUCAAACGUUUCAGUGUUCUUCUGCUCUUUCUGGCUUCGUCAGGAAAACAUUUCCCGGAUUGUUGUAGUUAUGGCAUUGGUUUGUUUUUGUUUUGUUUUGUGUUGUUUUGCAGUUCUGUGUUGUGGCUUUGUCAUCCAGGCAGCUUCCCGGGAGGCAUAUUUCUCGUUGCAGUGCUACAGUGACUAUCCCCACGUACAUCCUGUCCUGCGUGUGGGGCGUGAUCGCAGGAUACAUCCCUAGAAGACAGAGCCACACCCUGACCACACCGUUCACCGUGCCUGGUUCUCAGGAGGCUGCAAGCACCUGCUGAUGACUGGUUCUGCCCUGCGUGCUGGAAGAGCCCUGCCUGCCCUCCCCGCCUACUUCCUAAACUCGGGGGCCACAGCGAGAGUAGCGCACGAGGGGAGCCAGGGGAGCUUCUUUCUGUAAGCUGCUCGGGAAAGACAGACUGGUGCUGGCUGGCAUGCAGGGGCCUUCUGGCCAGUGACACCUCCCCGGGAAACAACGUGCGCCUGGAACAGGGCAGCAAUGCUCAGAGCAGCCGCAUCCACAACAGCAAAAACUGGAAAGCGAGUGUCUGUCGGAAAGAGGAUGGACAAGGCAUGCAGUAUUAUACGUGAUAACUAAAAGAUGAAAUGAGCCGUGUGCACCAUCACGUGACUCGUAGCAACUUGCUGCUGAGGCAAAAAAAGUUGCAUGGAGCGUAAUAACAUCCGAUAUGGCUAAUAAAAAAAAAGAGAGAGAAGC
rnacentral:lncRNA from 1 species